rnacentral:rRNA from 1 species
GUUGUCGCUGANCUUUGANAAGGUCGUGCACACCUUAGUGUAUUCACAAAUCCAUCUCACCCAUUGUGCAUUACCGCGUGAGCCCUUAUUUUUGGUUUGUUCCAAGGGGGUUCACGUUUUUACAUAUACACACCCUUGUAGAAUGUCUGUAUAGAAUGUCUACUUUUUGCAAUCAUAUGCAAUUAAUACAACUUUCAACAACGGAUCUCUUGGCUCUCGCAUCGAUGAAGAACGCAGCGAAAUGCGAUACGUAAUGUGAAUUGCAGAAUUCAGUGAAUCAUCGAAUCUUUGAACGCAUCUUGCGCCCCUUGGCAUUCCGAGGAGCACACCCGUUUGAGUGUUGUGACAUUCUCAAAACCUUUCUUAGUUUUAUUAACUGGGAAGGCUUUGGACUUUGGGGGUCUUGUUGCUGGCAUCCUUUGGAGCCGGCUCCUCCUAAAUAGAUUAGUAGGGUCUGCUUUGUCAAUCCUCGACGUGAUAAGAUAUUUUCUAUGUCUCGGAGUUUGGCACAGUCACUUUGGGUCCUGCUUCUAACUGUCUUGUAGAAGACAUUGUUAUAAACCCUUGACCUCNAAUCGGGUGAGACUACCCGCUGAACUUAAGCAUAUCAAUAAGCGG